ensembl:lncRNA
AUGGUAUUUAAGUGUCCGGGCCACUCCUGUUCCUCCUCAUUCCUUUCGCUGGCAGACAGGACAAGGGGAAAGUAUUCAUCAUGGAGAACAGAACCACAGACCUGCUUUAUAAAUGCAUGGUCAGGUUUGCUUAUGCAGGUCUUCAUCAAAUCAGGCUCUGUCACACAUGAAGUUUGGUCCCAAAGUGGUAACCAAGGCAACAGCUGGAGGCGGGGUGAGGUCUUCAUAGGAAUCCGUCAUAACUCAUAACAUCCAGGUGGGUUUUCGAG